GUCUUCAAACUUCCCCACCAACUUCUCAAUAGCACCACAUGUGGGUCUCUUCAUAAAGGUGUAAAAACUCAAGAACAUCUCAUUCCCAGCAAAAAAAUGUGCAUCUUAUGCCUUCAUCACUUCGGUGCCCCGCUCCGUAUUCAUCACUUCGGUGUCCCCCCUCCAUGGUCAUCACUGCGGUGUCCCCCAUCCAUGGUCAUCACUGCGGUGUCCCCACCUUCAUCACUUUGGUGCCCCCCUCCAUGGUCAUCACUUCGGUGUCCUCCCCCUCCAUGGUCAUCACGUCGGUGCCCCCUCCCCCAUGUUCAUCACUUCGGUAUCCCCUCGCAGGAAGAGGAGAGGACUCGAGGCGGGAGGGCCGGGGCGGAAAGUUGGACGGCGCGCGGAGCGCCGCCGCCUUGACCUCACCCUCCCCGCCCCGGGGGACCUGUUGGACCGCGCAGAGCCAUCUCGCUCUGCAGGGGCAGGUGUGCGCUCGGCGGCGAGCCCCGCGCGGGUCCGCUGCGCGUCUGAGCCUGGAGCCUCCGUCGGGCUCCCACCACGACUCCCCAGUCCGGUGCGCCUGGCCCUGCUCGGGCCCUCUCUCUACCGAAUCUACUGCCGAGCUGAGAACGGGGCCCUUUUCACGGCCCGUCUGUCCUCCUCCGGCCGCACGGAUGUUUUCUUUGUCUGGUGUCCCAUCGGUGGCUGGGACUACUGAGUCAGACCUUUUUAUUAAUCUGCAUUCCAGGGAAGGGCAGUGCAUGACAGAUGACAGGCGAAAUAACUCAUACUUUUGUGUGGACACAUUUUCCCGCCCCCGGACCAUUUCACCGGCCAGACUGUUCUCCCCAAACAUCUCCUGGAUUUAUCCCAGCUUCACCAUUUAA
rnacentral:lncRNA from 1 species